UCUAGCAUAUGGAGUGUUGGGUCUGCCACGUCAAUUAAUGAGGCGUGAUCCAACGCUCCGUGUUUUUUCUGAUUUUAAUUAUUUCUCUUUUAUUAUUUUAAAUUGGUUUUUUCUUUAAAAAUUCAUAUUAAUUUCAUUUUUUUAUCCAGAAUAAUUUCUGAAAUUCUCUUUUAUUUUUCUUCACCUGAUUUUUAUUUUUCCAUAUUUUAUUUACUGGUUUUCUAUUUUUUUUUUAUGAAUUUUCUCUUUUCUCAUUUGUUUAAAUUAGUUUGAAAAUACUUUUCUGUAUUUUAAAAUUCUAGAAAAAAUAUUAUAUACUUCUUAUUUUAUUUCCAACCUUCCAUAAUUUUC
rnacentral:lncRNA from 1 species